rnacentral:rRNA from 1 species
UACAGAGGUCCCAAGCGUUGUUCGGAUUUACUGGGCGUAAAGGGUGCGUAGGCGGUUGGGUAAGUCUGACGUGAAAUCUCCGGGCCUAACCCGGAAACUGCGUUGGAUACUACCUGACUAGAGGAAUGGAGGGGAGACUGGAAUACUUGGUGUAGCAGUGAAAUGCGUAGAUAUCAAGUGGAACACCAGUGGCGAAGGCGAGUCUCUGGACAUUUCCUGACGCUGAGGCACGAAAGCCAGGGGAGCAAACGGG